AUUGAACGCUGGCGGCAGGCCUAACACAUGCAAGUCGAGCGGAGCGGCGGGCGGGCGAGUAAUUCCUAUGUGUCUGCCUGGUAGUGGGGGGUAACGUCCGGAUACGGGCGCUAACUCCUCAUAUUAUCUGUUGAGCUACGGUCGGAUGAGCUAGUUGGUGGGGUAGAGGCUUACCAAGGCGACCAUCCGUAACUGGUCGGAGAGGAUGAUCAGUCACACUGGAACUGAGACACGGGCCAGACUCCUACGGGAGGCAGCAGUGGGGAAUAUUGGACAAUGGGCGAAAGCCUGAUCCAGCCAUGCCGCGUGUGUGAAGAAGGUCUUCGGAUUGUAAAGCACUUUAAGUUGGGAGGCGUUACCAACAGAGGAAGCACCGGCUAACUUCGUGCCAGCAGCCGCGGUAAUUC
rnacentral:rRNA from 1 species